UAAUUUGUGCUUUUAUUUCCAGGAAGUGAAAAUAAUUCCCUUUACUUAUACUACAAAGGCCUUUCAAAGACGUUGCUGACUUUUAAGUUCGAUACAGUUAAAAGUGUCUUAGACAAGGACCGGAAAGAGGAUGACACAAAUGAAUUUGUUAGUGCUGUUUGUUGGAGGGCACUGCCAGAUGGGGAGUCCAACGUGCUGAUUGCUGCUAACAGUCAGGGGACAAUUAAGGUGCUUGAGCUGGUAUGAAGGAUCAUCCCUCAAGAAAAGAUUGACUGGGUCCUGCUGAAACAUAUCUGCAGUUCACCAUGAGAGAAGAAAGGAAACCUUCAAAUGAUGUCCCUCCCCUGAAACCAUCAUGGGGCUUUUUGUUUGUUUGUUUUCAACUUUUUCUCCCUUUUUUUUUCAUCCCUUUUCCCCAUCUACGGACUCUUUAGGACCUCUGAGACACUGGGAACACCCAGUGAACUCUCCACCAUCAACAUAACUCCACGGACUUUGCUGCUGCUGGUGGUGGUGUGGUUGUCUAAUUUUUAUGAUAGGGAAACAAAUUCUUUUAAAUAAAAACAAAUAACAAAAAAAGAACAAAAGUUUUAUCGAGCCACAGCU